rnacentral:lncRNA from 1 species
UGUGAGGGCAAAGGCUGAAAGGUAUGGGAAGAAAAGUUCAUGCUGUCAAUGCUUGCAGGAAUAUCAAUCUCUUGAAAUGGAGGUUUGCAUAGUUUGUGAUGCAAUGUAUUGUUGUAACUGUGUGGUGAGAGCAAUGGGGUCAACACCUGAAGGAAGAAAAUGUGUUUCCUGUGUUGAUUCCAGGUUACAUGUGUGCAUGCCCAUGUCAUCUAAUGGAAUAGGAAGUUCUGGUAAAUCACAUAGCCUCAACUGUCACGAUAAUAUGCCUGUAAACAAUGAGUUGCCCGAUAAUAGGAACGAUGGCGCUAAUGCAGGAUUUCAUGAUUAUAUGAAUCCUGCUAACUCAGAGUCAACGGAGUCAGAUCUAAGUUCACACAGUGUUUCCUCUGAGGUGUUUUCUUGCAAAGAGGGGGGUUUUAAUAAGGAAGAAACUCCUGGCCAUAUUAGAAAACCAUCAGUCGUUACUUUCCGUGACCCUGACCCAAGUGAUGCAGUUUAUGAAGAAUCUGAUUAUUCUGAGGUUGAAAGCAUCCAUGAGAGGCCAAAGGCUGUAAGGCUAGGGAAGAAAGGUUCGUGCUAUCGAUGCUCGAAAGGAAAUCGGUUCACUGAGAAGGAGUUCUGUAUUGUUUGUGGUGCAAAAUAUUGUUCAAACUGUGUGCUGAGGGCAAUGGGGUCAAUGCCAGAAGGAAGAAAAUGUGUUACUUGCAUUGGUUUCAGCGUGGUAGAUUCUAAGAGACGAAACCUGGGGAAGUGUUCUCGGAUGCUCAAAAGGUUGCUGACUGAGACAGAAGUUAAACAAAUAAUGAUAUCUGAAAUAUCGUGCAAAGCAAAUCAGUUACCACCAGAGCGUGUUUUUGUGAAUGGUGAAGCUUUAUCUCAGAAAGAGCUCGUUAUACUGCUUAGCUGCCCAAACCCUCCAAAAAAGCUAAAUCCAGGAACCUAUUGGUACGAUAAAGUGUUGGGUUAUUGGGGAGAGGUAAACAUCAGAAACUGUUGCUAUUAUUUAAUUUUCUUUUCUUGUUUAUUUUGAUUCCAUUGCACCAUGAUAGAAUUAAUAUUUGAAUUCCAUUGCACCAUGAACAGGAAGGACACCGGCCUUGCCAGAUUAUAAGCCCCCAGCUGAAUGUCGGGGGUCAGAUAAUGAAAAAUGCUAGCAACGGAAAUACAAAUGUCAUGAUCAAUAAUCGGGAGAUUACUAGAAGAGAGCUCUGGAUGCUUAAGGUUAUUUCAGUGGGCAAAUUUGUGUGUUCAUUUGAAAUUCAGUGUUUCUAAAAAUAAGAUCCAUUCUAUUCUGUAUUUCUGUUAAAUGCUGCAGUUAGCAGGAGUGCAAUGUGAAGGACAACCUCACUUUUGGGUGAGCGCAGAUGGUUCCUACACGGAAGAGGGAAUGAAAAAUGAAAAGGGGCGUAUAUGGGACAAGGUAUGUCUGCAUAUGGAUGUGCAUUGGCUUUCUUAGUUAAACUAUCCCUUAAUUUCUGAUUUGUGAUUACUGUGUAUGUACUUUACAGAGUACAAUAAAACUAGUUUGUGCUUUCUUGUCUUUGCCAACCCCGCCUGAUUCUGAGAAUCCUUGUGGCAAUGAAGUGAAUGGUGUUAACCAGUGUGAGCAGCAAAGACUUAUUAAUCUUCUUCUUCUUGGUGAACACAAAUCUGGCACGAGUACCAUAUAUAAACAGGUGAGAUUGAUUGGAACCUGUAAGAAACUUUGUCUAAUACACGUGCUAUUAUUCAUAUACUAUUAAUCUGACUGGUGAAUAUUGAAUGGCUUAUAUUUAUCAUAUAAUGCAGCCAGCUUGUGUUGUCGUUUUGCUUCAUGUCUUGUCAUUUCUAGGACUUCAAGAUUUUAGAAGGAAAGAUGUUGUAGAGCAUGUUAGUUGAUUUUUAAAAUUUGUAUUAUCUGUAGUGUACUUAUUCACAAAGAUGACAUAUUAUGUUAUUUGACUACUAGCUUAAGAUUUCAUUAUUCAACAACAUUCAUCGGAGGUACAGUAAAUUGUGUAAUUGCACUUUGGUAUGAAGAGGGUUUUUAUUGUGCAUAAAAAGCUACAUACAAGAUGGUCUCAUAUCAUCACAUUGCCGCUGAUGCUUAAAAUAUAGUAGCGGAAAUCCUUUCUCCUUCUUGGUUACAUGCUGUGUUUUGUGACUUUAUGGGAAAAUUAUGCCUUUCUAGAUCAUGUUAAGUUUUUGUAUUUGUAAUAAGGCAAAGGCCAUAAGUCUUCGUUAAGGUCUUAAGACUGAAAUUUUGAUUCCAUGGUGAAAAUUGAACAUCAAGUUUUAUUCUUUCUUUGGGCUGUAAUUUAAGCCUUUUAUCAUUUUUUUUUAUUUUGGAUCCCUUUUGUUACCUUUUUCUUUUUCUCCCUUUUUAGACAUUGAUGCAAAGGCACAUGAUGACAGAAAUGUUUGUUUCAGGCCAAACUUCUGUUUAAGGUUCCUUUCUCUGAAGAAGAGCGUCAAAAUAUUAAGUUCAUGAUCCAAAGUAAUCUGUACUUCUAUAUUGGUAUUUUGCUUGAGGGCCGUGAGCGAUUUGAAGCAGAAAGAUUGUUUGGGAAGGGAAAAAGACAGGUUAUUGACGAGCCAGGCCCUUCAGGUAACAUAAAGAUUAGAUUUACUUCUCUUUUACAUUGCUUGUAUGAUUUUCUGUUUAUUGAAUGUUCCAUGAGAUCUUGUUUGGAGCAUGCAGAUGACGUAUAAAAAUGUUUGCCUUUGUUAUCUACUGUUCUGAGUUAUUUUUGGUAGAUAUUUGACAUAUGCAUAUCACUUUUUUCUGGGAAGUCUAGCCCGUCAAAAGUCAAGUUCUUUGUUAUUAUUUUACAUGCAUGGAGAGCAUUUUUACUUUUGCUUGAUUUUUUGGACUUCUCACUUCUCAGUGCCUUUAGCGUUAAAAUUAUCAAUUGUGUUGGAUUGAAGUUCAUCACAUUGGCAAGUUGACCCUGAGGGUGGGAGGGACAACUAUGAUGUCCAGUAUUUUGUACAUUUAAUUAUUGAGAAUUUAAUAACUGUUGUCUCAUUGAAAUUUAAGUAUAUUUUAAUUCCGUACCUUCACUAUGUUCUUCUUGUGGGCACAAUUCUGGCCUGUGGUUUUGAUUUCAAUAUCUAGUAGAACAUGAAAUUUGGAGAUAAAUCAUUGCCUGCAGCCAAUUAGAACUUUCUUGUGACUAACCUGUGCCAUCAGCAGUAAACCUCAAAUUUCUUUAAAAUGUUCUUUUAACAUGUUUAACUAUUUAAAAUCAUUGGAGUAAAGAGCCUAUUGAAAUAGCAUCACAUAGCUUGUGAACAUAUUUGAUGCUUCUUGGUGGUUGCAAAUUUCAAAUUUUUUUUAAAGAAAAAUAAUCAUAUUUCUUUCUUUCCUUAUUUUCUAGUUUUUUUUUUAAAAAAAUUUCAGAGUAAAAAAUAUCCAGCAUGAAGAAAUUUAAAUUUAUAAUUAGUUUAGCAAUUGGGAGGACUGAUUUUAUUCAGGUACAACACUAAUACAGGGCAGAUUGAUGAUAAAAUGAUGUAUUCCAUCAGUCCAAGACUGAAAGCUUUCUCUGAUUGGCUUCUCAAAGUCAUGGCAUCUGGUAAUUUGGAAGCCAUAUUCCCAGCCGCUACCCGUGAAUAUGCACCAUUUAUUGAGGAGUUGUGGAGGGAUGCAGGCUUCCAAGCCACAUACAACCGGAGAAAUGAAUUAGACAUGCUUCCCAGACAUGCCACCUAUUUCCUAGAACGGGUUAGAUCACUAUCUAUGGUCAUUGUCUGCUGAGUAUUUCAUUAUUCAUAUUUGGUUCAGCUUCAGUAUGUAUCUUUUGUUUUUGGAUCAAUAGAGUCUUGAUUGUUUAUUUCAUUUGCCUCAUGAUUGUCCAGUGAUCUUGAAUAGCAUCCUCUAUUCCAUAGACAUAAUUGUCAAUGUACAUAUGACCUGCACCGUAAUUUAAAAAUUCCAAGUAUAUAUUUAAUAUUCUUGUAUUUUGGCUUCUUAUUAAUCAUGUGCUUUCUUAUCCCAUGUCAUUUCAGAAAACAUAUUUCAUAAAAGAUAUUUUUUGAAACUAAAAUGAAAGGCAUUCUGAAUUCACACCAUCAGUUCUCUUCGUGUAUUGUUUCUCAAAAGCUUGAACGAGGAAAGAUGAUUGUUUUGAUUUGUACUUCACUGUUUGCUAUUUUUUUCAAUAUUAACAUUAGUUUCCCUCUCAGGCUGUUGAGAUUUCAAGGACAGGCUAUGAGCCCUCAGAUAUGGAUAUCUUGUAUGCUGAGGAAAUUACAUCAAGCAAUGGGCUUUCGUCCAUGGUAUUUUCAUUACCGGAGCAGACACAAGAAAACUCCAUAAGUGACUCUUCCAAUCAGAAUGAUCCCUUGCUCAGGUUACUGUCUAAUCUGUGCUUUAAAUUUACGUAUAAGCCAAACAUGCAUUGCACUUUGCCAGAUUUUUGCUAUUGCUGUUGCUGUCAAAUGCCAUUGUGAGAUUUAGCUACCGAAGGAAAGGACUUCAUGGGUAGUAAUUCUGGCUUGCAGAUUGAAUUUUGGGUAGCUUAACUCAGUUUGAAUGGGGAUAUUGUCAUCAAUGAAUUGAGUCUGCAAUUCUGUUGGAACUGGAAGUUAUUAGCUAAGUUAGUGGUCCCACUUGGCUUGGCAAGACACAGAAAGAAUAAUCAGUUAAUUGCCUUUCAACUUCAAGAAUACUUUAAAUUUACCAGCAUUUCAUACUUGAGUUUUAGCUAUUGAUUUAUUUCUCUUCUUUGGCAUGAAAUGUUUUAGCAAUCAAAUAUGAAUAAUCUUUUACAGCUGUGAUGGAUCUUUGGCAUAAGUUUCUUGAAAGUGGGGAACGAUGUAUGAUUGAUUAUAAAUUGUUCAUCUAACUUACCAAUUUUUGCUUUGCACUUGCAGCUAUCAACUCAUUAGAGUGCAUCCAAGAAGCCUCGGGGAGAACUGCAAGUGGCUAGAAAUGUUUGAAGAUGUUGAUAUGAUCCUCUUUUGUGUUUCUUUGACUGACUACGAUGAAUAUUUUGAAGAUAGCAAAGGAUUUCUCACCAACAAGAUGUUGGCAAGCAGGCAGCUCUUCCAAAACAUUGUCAUUCAUCCAACCUUCAAUCAAAAGAACUUCCUUCUGAUACUCAACAAGUAUGAUAUGUUAGAGGAAAAGAUUGAAGAAGUUCCUCUCUCUCGAUGUGAAUGGUUUGAAGACUUCAAUCCGGUGAUCAGCCAUAAUCACCAUAGCACUAGUAGAAGAACUAGCAACACACCACUGGCUGUAUCUGCCGCCCACUACAUUGCAGUGAAGUUCAAGAGGUUGUUCGAUUCUCUAACUGGUCGUAAGUUGUUUGUUUCAGUAGUUACUGCCUUGGAGCCUGAGACUGUAGAUGAAGCUCUCAAUUAUGCAAAGGAGAUUCUGAAGUGGGAGGAAGAGGAACCUGUCUACACUAACAUUGAGUCAACUGAUUACGAGGCAAGCUCAUCAUCAUGAAUUUUCUUCUCGGGUUGAAUUUUGCUCAUCCAUCCUCAGUUAUACAAAACAUUGGAAAGGAUUUUUUUUUUUUUCCAAAGAUAGAAGAACAUCAGAAGAAAAUACAUUGGGUCAAGCACAUGCUUGUGUAUACUAAUCCAGAUUUGCAUAGAAGUUAGGGAGAUUAAGAUUCUUUCCUAGAGCUGUAAAGAACUGUCGUUUUGCCAUUUCAAUUAAGAUUUAGUAAAUAAAAGAAGAAUAAUUACUUUGCACAAUGAGACACAUAGCUGACAAGCUUGCAUAAAUACAAACGGACAUGGAAUUCAUUUUCGUUGCCUGAAUUUAACUGACGGAUUACAUAUCUUGUCUACAAACAAACAUGAAAAAAAAGACCUUUUUAACUACAUAAGGCUUCACAGAAAGAUUGAAUACACAUCAACAAGGCACAAACCGGUCCAUAAGCAAACAGAUAGUAGUCUCUGAUAUUGUACUUUCAUCUUCAACCUCUUUGGUGCUCUCCUUUUUAUCUUCUUUCCCACGUACUUGUUCUUUCUUAGCUCUUAACACAAACGGCUUCCUGCCUUUAACCUUCUCUCCCAGCUUCGCAAGCUCACCCAUGCAUAUCUCCACAACUGCCGACAUUUUCACUGCGAUAACCAAGAACCCACUUGGAAUUUUCAGCUGGCUCUUUCUUUCUUGUUGAUCUUUCUUUAUUGAAUAUGAAACGAGAAGCAACGUGGGGUUUAUAAAGAAGAGAAGGCGAGCAAAAGUCCACAUAGAAUUUGGCGGGUUCUGGAGACCCGCUGGUUUUGACUGUUGGGGAGAAAAAUCAAUGUGUGGAUGCCCACAGAGAUGCCGUUUUGAGAACCUUCUGUUCCAUUUAUCUUUCUUUGGAUUGGAUAUUCCCGCGUUUGCAAGAAAAUAUCCUUUUGCGUGACAGUUCUAAUGUGUGACGACUCACACAUUAAUUAUCAAUGCUCAAUUUCAAAACUAACCUCUAGUUCUUAACUUGGAGUAUUUGAUCAAACGGUGAGCUAUUAAUAUCUUACAUUGUUUUAUUAAUUUAGAGUUACAUCUUAAAACAUUUUAUUAGCACAGACUGACAGACACGUAACAAUUUUAUAUUACUAUAUAAAAUCUAAUAAAAUUAGACUCAUUAAUAUAAUAUUUGAUUAUAUAAUAAAAGAGUCUAUAAAAAUUUAUUCUGAUCAAAUAAAUAAAUAAUAAUUAGAGUGAUUUAUCCCGUGAUAUGGUUUUAAACCGCACCAAUUUUUUUUUUAAAAACUUAAAAAGAUCUUUUUAGGGUAGAGUUGUAUAGCAAGAUGCUAAUUUUAUUUUUAAAUUUAUAUUUUAUCAAUUAAAUUAGAGGUUUUUAGGAAAUAAAAUUUAAAAAGGGUAUUGUAAGGAUUUUAGAGGGGUGUUAGAAGCCCCACUCUUUUGUACUAGUGCUACGGACAUAUGGUUACAAUUGAUAUUGGCCUAUGGGUAAAGCCCUGUAUUUUAUGUUAUCCACUAUAAUUCUAGGUGAACUUAUUGAGGCUAAUCUUGAAUUAGGGGUGGACAAAUACUUCAAUCCAAUUGAAUCUGAAUCGCAAUGCAGCGAUGCACAUACAAGCACAAAGUUUUGAUCCAAUCCAAUUUAUAUUCGGAUUUAAUCGGAUUGUAUUAUAAGUUUGGGUUGAGUUCAGAUUACUUUUUUUUUUCCAAUUUGUUUAAUCCAAAAUCCAAUCGCGUUAAUUCGAACCUGAAUUUUCCUACCCCUACAACUAUCAUUAGAGGAUAUAAUUAAAAAGAAAUGAGUUAUACGAUUAUUUGCAAUAAUUCAUGUCUAAAGCUAUGAAGCAAAUACCCAAACAUCAUCAGCAAAUAAUUAAUGUCUUAUUUAUAAGUUUGAAAACGAAAUAACCCCAUCGAUAGCGCUUCCACAUUGUAAAUCGCACUUAUUCCAUUACAAACAAACAAUUAAGUACCAUACCAUAACCUAAAUUUCUAUCUUAAAAAUGGUUCCUUAUCUAAAUAUAAUAAUUAGUCAUUGAAAAAUCCAUAAAAUUUAAUAUACAAUCACCGACCUUAUGAUUGAUGUAAAAUGCAUUUUUUUUUCAAUUUUAUUUUGUCAUACACCCACCACUUGUUUUCUAUAUUAACAUAAAUUCCAAUUUUUUCAUUUAUUAAUAUUUUAAUGCGAUCACAAUACUCGUUCCAAGAUGUAUUAUAUAGGAUUAAUAUUAUGACAUAGUCUCAAGUCUGACCUAUCUCAACUUAGGUAGUUGAACGUACUUGACCAAAUUACCCUUUCUUAGCGCCAAAAUUCAGUUAGGUACAAUCAAUCGCAGCAGCAAGUACUUUGAAAUUUUGAAACGAAGCACACAUGUUUCGUUCUGGCGUGACUGAUCAGUUCCUCGCAGCUUCCUCUUCAACCUCAAAGCGUUGACGAAGGAAAAAUGAAAAGAGUCUUCACUGGUGAGAGCACAACUCUACAGGAAAGAAUUCACAUUUUCUUUGUUCUUUAUUAUUUCUUUCAACUGUCACUUUGCCUUCAUGAUUUUCAUUUUCUUCAUUCUCUUCGUGGCAGCCUCCCUUUUCUCCAAUUCCUAAUAAACGCCAAAAAUGCUUGGUUUAGUUCUCUUAUUGAUUGAUUUUGCUUUCUGGGUUUGUGAGAUAUGUUGAUUUUGCUUCAUGGGUUGUUUUUUCAAUUAGUUAUAUUUUGUGGGUUUUUGAAAUAUUUGGUCAUGCUUCAUCUGUGUAUUUGAUGAUCAUUUCGUUUUGCUUCAUGCUUCUUAAAUCAUUGAAAUGAUUGAUUAAGUUUCUUGUAUGCUUUGAUGGAUUGUUGAAGUAAUUGAUUUUGCUCCGUGGGUAUGUUGAACUAUUGGCUUUUAUUUAUUGGGGGUUUUUUAAUUAGUGUUUUAAUUGGUUUAUUGGUUUAUUGAAAUAGGGUUACUGGUUUUGAGUUGAUUUUGAGUAGGGUUUACAAAAUGGCUCAGCUUUUGAGGAAAAUUCUGCCUGUUGUGCCAUUGAGAUCAAAACCUUAUGAUGAUGAUGAGGAUGAUAAAAAUAACACUGAAUAUUCAUUUGCCGUUGAGUAUUCUGGCCCUCUGAUCAGUUCUGAUAUUCCCCUGGCAUCGCCAAUAGUUGUUGACCAAAUCCCCAUUGCUGUUACGGUUGCCUCUCCUUCCUUGUUAAGAGAUAGGUCGUUGCCAGUAAUCCAACCAACUGUAAAAAGUACUCCAGGAGGCAGAAGACGGUUGAAGGAGCCUGAAUUAAGUUCUGAACCUACAUUACGUAGUAAUUCAUUAACCAAUUCCGGAGCGUCCUUGACUGGUCCUAAUGUGUCCUGUGAAUCACAAAGUUUGGUAGAUAGCUCAGGUGAUGUUGGAUGUGCAACUGGUGAUUACUCCCAGCCCAAGUCAGUUAAUGGAGUUAGAAGUUCCAGUAAAUUCAGAAGUCCUGAUGCUCAAGAUAAUUCAUCUGACGUAAUAAGAAGUUCUGCUAAACUGAAUAGUCUUGAUCGUCAUGAUAAUUUGUGUGUAAUUCUAAAAUUAUCUGAUGGUAGUGAAGAAGGUGCAGAUGCAGGCCUGCAAAAUGGUAUAAAUCCUGCCAAUUUGGAUUUAACAGAUUCUGGUUUAAGUUCACAUGAACAUACAUCAAAGUUUUUUUCUUGCAAUGAGGGAUAUUUUGGUGAUGAAGAAACUCCUUCCAAUGUUAGAGGAUCAUCAGUUGUUAUUUCUGAUGAUCCUGAGACAAGUGAUAUAGUCCAUGAAGAAUCUGAUAACUCUGAAAGCGUCCAUCUGAGAGCAAAGGCUGAAAGAUAUGGGAAGAAAAGUUCAUGCUGUCAAUGCUUGCAGGAAUAUCAAUCUCUUGAAAUGGAGGUUUGCAUAGUUUGUGAUACAAUGUAUUGUUGUAACUGUGUGGUGAGAGCAAUGGGGUCAACACCUGAAGGAAGAAAAUGUGUUUCCUGUGUUGAUUCCAGGUUAGAUGUGUGCAUGCCCAUGUCAUCUAAUGGAAUAGGAAGUUCUGGUAAAUCAAAUAGCCUCAACUGUUACGAUAAUAUGCCUGCAAACAAUGAAUUGCCCGAUAAUAGG